rnacentral:rRNA from 1 species
AUUGAACGCUGGCGGCAUGCCUUACACAUGCAAGUCGAACGGCAGCGGGGGAGAAGCUUGCUUUUCCUGCCGGCGAGUGGCGAACGGGUGAGUAAUACAUCGGAACGUGCCCUGUAGUGGGGGAUAACUAGUCGAAAGAUUAGCUAAUACCGCAUACGACCUGAGGGUGAAAGUGGGGGACCGCAAGGCCUCAUGCUAUAGGAGCGGCCGAUGUCUGAUUAGCUAGUUGGUGGGGUAAAGGCCUACCAAGGCGACGAUCAGUAGCUGGUCUGAGAGGACGAUCAGCCGCACUGGAACUGGGACACGGCCCAGACUCCUACGGGAGGCAGCAGUGGGGAAUUUUGGACAAUGGGCGAAAGCCUGAUCCAGCAAUGCCGCGUGUGUGAAGAAGGCCUUCGGGUUGUAAAGCACUUUUGUCCGGAAAGAAAUGGCUCUGGUUAAUACCUGGGGUCGAUGACGGUACCGGAAGAAUAAGGACCGGCUAACUACGUGCCAGCCGCCGCGGUAA